UACGUAGGUGGCAAGCGUUGUCCGGAUUUAUUGGGCGUAAAGCGAGCGCAGGCGGUUUCUUAAGUCUGAUGUGAAAGCCCCCGGCUCAACCGGGGAGGGUCAUUGGAAACUGGGAGACUUGAGUGCAGAAGAGGAGAGUGGAAUUCCAUGUGUAGCGGUGAAAUGCGUAGAUAUAUGGAGGAACACCAGUGGCGAAGGCGGCUCUCUNGGUCUGUAACUGACGCUGAGGCUCGAAAGCGUGGGGAGCAAACAGGAUUAGA
rnacentral:rRNA from 1 species